AUUCAUUGCUACUUUAGCUUUUGAAGAAUCACUGCCAUCAGUUGAAUGAGAGAGCUUUGAGUCAUUUGCCUCAUCAGUUGCAUCAGGAAGCUGCAAGCCAUUGCCAUCUAAACUUGAACCAGGAAGUUGCAAGUCCUUCCCCUCUUCAGUUGCAUCAGGAAGCUGCAAGUCCUUCCCCUCUUCAGUUGCAUCUGCAAGCUGAGGGUCCUUUCCCUCUUCAGUUGUCUCAGAAAGCUGCAAGUCCUUCCCCUCUUUAGUUGCAUCAGGAAGCAGCAAGUCCUUCUCCUUCUCAGUGGAAUCAGGAAGUUUUGAGUCCUUUUCUGCUUUAGUUGAAUCAGGAAGCUGAGAGCCCUUCCCCUCUUUAGUUGCAUCUGGAAGCAGCAAGUCCUCCUCCUCAGUUGAAUUAGGAAGUUUUGAGUCCUUCUCUGCUUUAGUUGAAUCAGGAAGUUGUGAGGCCUUCUCCUCUUUGGUAGCAUCAGGAAGCAGCAAGCCCUUCCCUCUCCUGGAUGCAUCAGGGAGCUGUAAGCCAUUACCCUCUUUAGUUGCAUCAAAAAGAUGUGAAUCAUUGGUCUCUUCAGUUGCAUCAGGGAGCUCCAAGUCCUUUGCCUCUUUAGUUGCAUCAGAUUGGCCUGCUGUGUCUUUAGUUGCAUCAAAUUGGUCCUUUACCUCUUUAAUUGCAUCAGGGAGCUGUGAGUUGUUUGCCUUUUCAGUUGCAUCAGAGAGCUCUGUGCCAUUCACUUUGUCAAUUGUAGCAUCAUGCAGUUGUUCAUCAUCGACCUUUGUCGUUGCCUCACAAGGCUUAGAGUCAUGAACCUCAUCAGUUGUCUCACAAAGCUGUGAGUCAUAAACCUUAUUAGUUUGACCACAAGUCUCAGAAUCAUCAACCCCUAUAGUUGUGGCAUCACAGACUUGUGAGUCCUCGAUGACAUAAGUAGAAUCACAAGGAUGAGAGUUAUUAAUGUCAUUGCCAUGAGUUGCAUUGUUGAGAUGUGAAUGAUCAACCUUGUUCACCACAACAUGCAGCUCUGUACUAUUGCCCUCACCAGGUGUAAGACACAUUUGUUGUGGAUCAACCUCAUCAUCUUCCUGAUGUAACUCUAAUUGAACAACUUCGUCCUCUGCCUGAGGUAAAUGCAAUUGAUCAACCUCAAUAACUGCACUGUAAAACUGAGAUUGGUCAUCCUCGCUAGCUUCAUAAUCCAUGGGAUCAUCCUUUCUCCUACGUUUCAUGGUACCCUUUCUUCUUACACGCUCCUUCCCUCUUGUCCUUUUCCCAAGUUCUAUAGGGGUGCCAUCUGAUGGUGUGACUGGACUUCCAGCCUGGUCCCUCAAACAGUCCUGUGCAAUAAACCUAAUUCUUGUAAUCGACUCAAAUUGUUGCCCAUCCAACCCUUUUGUCGAGAAUGUAUCUGCUAAGUAGGCAAUUUCUCUUAAACCAGAUAUCGUUCUUUGGAAUUCAGAUGAUAAAGAUAUAGGCCUCCCUACAACUUUACGGGUAAUUUUCAAGUACCAUUGCAUGUAUUCACUUUCAUCUACACCAUCAUCACCAUCCACAAUAUGGAGUCGACGGUCCAACCAUUCAUUAAGUUCAGACUCCAUUUUCCCAGACAAGUCUACCCCACCAUCAACUCCUCUACUCUUUCUGACCCAUCGCACCACAUCUUCAGGGAUUGGUUGAAGCAUGCUGUAUUGCCUUAGGCAGCGGUCAGGGAGGUGCCUCUCUGCCUUGUCAAAGCAUAUAAGCAUCGUCUUUGAUCUUCCCAAGAUCAAAGUAUCUCUAAUGUCUUCUGGUAUUACUGUACUGUCCAUAUAUUUGUAUGGAAGCCACUCCACAUCAAUUGGUUUCAAUGAAUCCAAUGCCUUGCGGUAAAAUACCACAUCUCGGUUUGUUGUUGGCCCACUUUGUUUCCCCUUCCACCUAAGCACAAAUGGAAAAUGAUCAUGAAUAGGAUCCCGAUUGAGCUUUGGUCGACCGAUAUUCAGAUGAAAGUAACUCCAACACUGUAGCAAGGUUAAACAGCCACAGAUGGUACUUUGAGAUUUAACACAAGCAUUGCCAAGUGCUCUGUACAGGAAGGCUAAUGCUGCUGCGCCCCAGGCAUAGUUCCCAGCUUCUUCAAAACUUUCAAACAAUGGAAGGUACAUAACAGGAACUUUAUUCCCAGUGGUCGUGGAGAAUAUUG
rnacentral:misc_RNA from 1 species